UGGGGGAUAUUGCACAAUGGGCGAAAGCCUGAUGCAGCGACGCCGCGUGGGGGAUGAAGGCUUUCGGGUUGUAAACCUCUUUCGCUAUCGAACAAGGCUCACUAUAGGGUGGGUUGAGGGUAGGUGGAGAAGAAGCGCCGGCUAACUACGUGCCAGCAGCCGCGGUAAUACGUAGGGCGCGAGCGUUGUCCGGAAUUAUUGGGCGUAAAGGGCUUGUAGGCGGCUUGUUGCGCCUGCUGUGAAAACGCGGGGCUUAACUUCGCGCGUGCAGUGGGUACGGGCAGGCUUGAGUGUGGUAGGGGUGACUGGAAUUCCAGGUGUAGCGGUGGAAUGCGUAGAUAUCUGGAGGAACACCGAUGGCGAAGGCAGGUCACUGGGCCAUUACUGACGCUGAGGAGCGAAAGCAUGGGUAGCGAACAGG
rnacentral:rRNA from 1 species